rnacentral:rRNA from 1 species
UACAGAGGUGGCAAGCGUUGUUCGGAAUUACUGGGCGUAAAGGGCUCGUAGGCGGCCAACUAAGUCAUACGUGAAAUCCCUCAGCUUAACUGGGGAACUGCGUGUGAUACUGGAUGGCUUGGAUUUGGGAGAGGGAUGCGGAAUUCCAGGUGUAGCGGUGAAAUGCGUAGAUAUCUGGAGGAACACCGGUGGCGAAGGCGGCAUCCUGGACCGGUAUUGACGCUGAGGAGCGAAAGCCAGGGGAGCAAACGGG